rnacentral:rRNA from 1 species
UUGCACUAUGGACGCCAGUCUGAAUGGAGCAACGCCGCGUGAGUGAAGAAGGUCUUCGGAUCGUAAAACUCUGUUGUUAGAGAAGAACACGAGUGAGAGUAACUGUUCAUUCGAUGACGGUAUCUAACCAGCAAGUCACGGCUAACUACGUGCCAGCAGCCGCGGUAAUACGUAGGUGGCAAGCGUUGUCCGGAUUUAUUGGGCGUAAAGGGAACGCAGGCGGUCUUUUAAGUCUGAUGUGAAAGCCUUCGGCUUAACCGGAGUAGUGCAUUGGAAACUGGAAGACUUGAGUGCAGAAGAGGAGAGUGGAACUCCAUGUGUAGCGGUGAAAUGCGUAGAUAUAUGGAAGAACACCAGUGGCGAAAGCGGCUCUCUGGUCUGUAACUGACGCUGAGGUUCGAAAGCGUGGGUAGCAAACAGGAUUAGAUACCC